UGGAAUGCAUCACAACACAUACAAUUCACAUCACGGAUGGACUUGUCACCAAUAACCCUCUACAUAUCCAAUGUGCCCGGCCCUCGACGGAGCUCUGCAGGACUUCCUCUUAAACAUCACACAAUGCCAAGACGCAUGGACAUGGGCAGCCCUGGACUUUCGUAAAUCAUACAUAAUAAAUGCCAGGACGUGUGGACAUGGGCAGCC
rnacentral:lncRNA from 1 species